UGGGGAAUCUUGCGCAAUGGCCGAAAGGCUGACGCAGCGACGCCGCGUGUGGGAUGACGCCUUUCGGGGUGUAAACCACUGUUGCCCGGGACGAACUGCCUUUUUCGAGAGGCUUGACGGUACCGGGUGAGGAAGCACCGGCUAACUCCGUGCCAGCAGCCGCGGUAAUACGGAGGGUGCGAGCGUUGUCCGGAAUCACUGGGCGUAAAGGGCGCGUAGGCGGCUGGGGAAGUCCGUGGUGAAAGCUCGUGGCUCAACUACGAGUCGGCCAUGGAUACUCCUGAGCUUGAGUCGACUAGAGGCUAAUGGAAUUCCGGGUGUAGCGGUGGAAUGCGUAGAGAUCCGGAAGAACACCGGUGGCGAAGGCGGUUAGCUGGGGUCGAACUGACGCUGAGGCGCGACAGCGUGGGGAGCAAACAG
rnacentral:rRNA from 1 species